AUUAAUACAUUUUCUUCUGCUGCUCAUGGUUCUUUGGAUACAAGCCAAUAUCUUAAACUUUUGGAAAGAAACAGAACAGAAUCAAAGGAUACAUAUACUUUGUAUUGUCAAGCAGGAUAUCAAUAAGGUUGGUGAAUGCUUGCCUGAAUACACAUCUAACUGUACACUAACUGUAACUGCAUGACAGCAAUAGCAAUAGCAAUAGCACUUACAUUUAUAUACCGCUCUAUAGCCGGAGCUCUCUAAGCGGUUUACAAUGAUUUUAGCAUAUUGCCCCCAACAUUCUGGGUACUCAUUUUACCGACCUCGGAAGGAUGGAAGGCUGAGUCAAUCUUGAGCCCCUGGUCAGGAUCGAACUUGUAACCUUCUGGUUACAAGGCGACAGUUUUACCACUGCGCCACCAGGGACAGGAGAGGGAAUAUUCAUGUAAAUAUUCUGUGUGGAUAGUGAACAUUUCCAUUCUCUUUUGUGGGGAGCAACUUAACAUUUCAGUAGUAUACAUGAUAGUCAGGUAGGGAUACAAGCACCAGGAAAUUACCUACUUACUACAGGGGAGGGAGCAUUUCUUACUAUGUGACAAAGUGACACAGAUCAAUUGUGGGAAAGGUUUGUUAUUAUUUUUUAUUAUUAUUUACAUUUUAUAUCCCGCUCUUCCUCCAAGGAGCCCAGAGCGGAGUACUACAUACUUAAGUUUUUCCUCACAACAACCCUGUGAAGUAGGUUAGGCUGAGAGAGAAGUGACUGGCCCAGAGUCACCCAGCAAGUCUCAUGGCUGAAUGGGGAUUUGAAAUCAAGUCUCCCCAGUCCUAGUCCAACACUCUAUCCACUACACCACGGUGGCUGGCUGAAGUCAGUAAUAUAAAGAGAGCCGCACCAUAACACAAUGCAUAAUUAACCUAUGGAAUUCUCUGCCACAAGAUGUGGUUACAGCCAAUAGCCUGGAUGGCUUUGAGGGGUUUAGAUAAAUUCAUGGAGGAGGGGUCUAUCAAUGGCUACUAGUAUGGUGGCCAUAGGCCACCUCCAGCCUCUGAAGCAAGAUGCCUCUAAAUACCAGUUGCGAGGGACUACCAGUAGGAGAGAGGGCAUGCCCUCAGCUCUUGCCUGUGGGCUUCCCAGAGGCAUCUGGGGGCCACUGUGUGAAACAGGAUGCUGGACUAGAUAGACCUUGGACCUGAUCCAGCAGGGCUUAUCUUAUGUUUUUAUAUUAAUAUUCAGCAAAAAUUGAAGGAACUUAUUUUGAAACACAAAGCAUAGAACUAGCCUACUCUGUACCACUCUAUAACCCCCUUCAGACUUUGCAAAGAUAUGGAACCAGCAUGACAGCUUUUGGAAUGCAAUGUAAGCACUGCUUUUAUUCUCUAUUUCCACUCACAUGACACUGGGGAUUUUGUUCUGCACUGUCUGUGCAAGAAGAGGUGAGGCCAUCUUCCUGGCACUGGAGCAAGCAUAUGGAUGUUAUCACAAUUAUAGCAUAAGCUUAAUAUCAAAACCUUUCUCACUAUAGCAUUGGUGAGGUUAUUGUGAUGUAUGUUUUGGCUUUAUGAUGUCACUUAUUUAGAAUGAACUGUUUUAUAAUCAAAAUUGGAUCAACAGUGAUUAGUUGGAAAGGAAAUUAAUCCUCUAUACUGUGCCCCAGAAGGUAGUGAGCAAUUAGUAAAAAUGUAAAUCUUACAAGUAAUUAUCAUUCUCCUCAAUACUACAGCUAAUUGCUCUGUGUAGUGCAGAAAGCCAUAUGAACUUAUCAUCGUCUUCUUCUGUUGAGCAAAUCAGCUGACAUGUUGGCCCUCGUAGAAGAAAAGCAUUCUUGAUGUCUGUUGAAUAAAAACAUUAUUGAUAACUUAAAAUAAUUAUGAACUGGAUACCCAGGAUAGUAAUAAGGCCACUUAAGUAAAGAUUUUGAACACCCCAGCAUGAAGUCAAUGUGGUGAGGGGUUGCUAUAUACAGGUUGCUUACCUGUAACUUAAGAUCUGGAAGUGAUCCGUCGUCGUCAUAAGGAAUGGGUUCUGCGCCUGCCCAUGGUUAAUCCUUCAUUUUGCCUCCUCACUAUUUUGUCUAAUGUAGAUUUCUGCAUUACUUUGCUUCUAUAUACUGCCUUGCCCAUACUCACGCUACCACACGAGACAAUAGCAGUAGGAAUCCUAAGAAGCCCAACUCCCUGCCAAAAAGUAAAUCUUUAUCCUUAAAGUUCUCUCUGCAUAUCUACAGAAGGGAAUCCUUCAAUAUAUAUGACUAGAAAUGACUUGAAGUGUGCUUAGUUCAUCUUCCCUCAAAGACUGAAUUCAGACAGUCAAAGUAUUUCCUGCCCUCCUGGUGUCUAGAUGUUCUCCAAGUGGUAGUAGUAAUGGGCUGAUCCAGACUGAUUUACCUCUGCACAGUGGAAGAGUGAAACUGAGCAACUGAGCUUGCCUGUCCUGACUGAGUCCAUCAGAUAUUCUGUGGGCAUACUUAUAUAGGGCUCAUGCAUGGAACAUUUAACUACAGACCCAAAUCACAUGGCCAUUUCUCAAAUUGCAUUGUUUGGGGACAUGCAUAGGCUCUGUGCAAUCCAUGCAAUAUCUGGUGGACUGGGCAGUGGUGAAAGUGCAUUUGAUGUUGUAUCCCCCAUCACGUGUGGGCAGUGAGUUCAUCGAAACUCAGCAGGGGCAGCUCCCUUAUGAGGCAAUGUUAGGUGAUGACCUCAGACUGAAUGUGCCAAGGGAUGGUAAGUGCAGGUACCCUAUCACCCACCAACAAGCCAUCACUGCCCUGUAUGCUUUCUUUCAUUGCCUAGAGCCAGCACUGGUGUUGCCCAACCGUUCUCACUGAUAUCACCCCUUGUCCUCAUGCUGGCUUCACCUUUGUCAUGCUCUGCCCUGCUCUGUUUACAAAUUGAGCUCUUUGAUUCCAAAGGUGCUGACAUAGUAAUGGUUAAAUAAAACACAGCAAUUAAAUUUUCUGCCCAUUUUUCCAAUUAGAUUCUUCUCGGUCAUAAGUGGAGUUCUGGAAUACUCAUUCUCAUUUUGGUGUAAUCUGGAAAUUUUUAGAAGUAUACUUUUUCUCCUCCCUGAAUUUUGCUAUUCUAGCAGGAAAAAGAAUGGAAGAAGUCGGCAGUGAAAAACAUACAUUUGGAAUCCAGGAUAUCUUCAACAAUGAGCUGAGAAAGUGGUACUACUUCCAAGAACUGCAAUUACAGGAGCAACCUCCAUCGAAGAGGCCAAACUUUGCAAAGCAGACAAACAGCCAAUCAGCUGAAGCCAUCCUGCUUCUUUUUCACUGAAGCUAAAUACUGAUCCAUUUACCUGUAUGGAAUACUGACUUUCUCAGAACAGCAGCUUAGCUGGGUUACAUCUUGUGUCCUAAUUAGAUAUCUAUCAGCUUUCAAUAACGGCUGUGAAUUAAAAAUGGAACAAUGAAAAAAAACAUUGCACAGACCCAAUUUAUUACUGCUUGUGUAGUUUGUAUUUGGAUGUUGAUGUAUGUAAGUCACAUACAGCUAAAGUGU